rnacentral:rRNA from 1 species
CCUACGGGUGGCAGCAGUGGGGAAUCUUGCGCAAUGGACGAAAGUCUGACGCAGCGACGCCGCGUGGGUGAUGAAGGCCUUCGGGUUGUAAAGCCCUGUGGGGAGAGAAGAAUAAGUGCGGGCUAAUACCCCGCAUGAUGACGGUAUCUCCUUAGCAAGCACCGGCUAACUCUGUGCCAGCAGCCGCGGUAAGACAGAGGGGGAAAACGUUGUUCGGAAUUACGGGGCGGCGGUCGGGUGUGGGCGGUGUGAAAGCCCCGGGCUCAACCCGGGAAGUGCACUCGAUACUGUUAGGCUAGAGUACUGGAGAGGUUGGUGGAAUUCUCGGUGUAGAGGUGAAAUUCGUAGAUAUCGAGAGGAACACCGGUGGCGAAGGCGGCCAACUGGACAGAUACUGACGCUGAGACACGAAAGCGUGGGGAGCAAACAGGAUUAGAUACCCCUGUAGUC